UCGAGAAUUUUUCACAAUGGGCGAAAGCCUGAUGGAGCGACGCCGCGUGGGGGAUGAAUGGCUUCGGCCCGUAAACCCCUGUCAUUUGUGAACAAAGCGACUGACCUAAAACGUCAGUCGUUGAUAGUAGCGAAAGAGGAAGGGACGGCUAACUCUGUGCCAGCAGCCGCGGUAAUACAGAGGUCCCAAGCGUUGUUCGGAUUCACUGGGCGUAAAGGGUGCGUAGGCGGUUAGGUAAGUCUGAUGUGAAAUUCCGGGGCUCAACUCCGGAACGGCAUCAGAUACUACCUUACUAGAGGGUUGGAGGGGGGACUGGAAUUCUCGGUGUAGCAGUGAAAUGCGUAGAUAUCGAGAGGAACACCAGUGGCGAAGGCGAGUCCCUAGACAAUUCCUGACGCUGAGGCACGAAAGCCAGGGGAGCAAACGGG
rnacentral:rRNA from 1 species